GACGAACGCUGGCGGCGUGCUUAACACAUGCAAGUCGAACGAAGUGGCGAACGGGUGAGUAACGAGUAAUCAACCUGCCGUUCAGAGGGGGACAACAGUUGGACACGACUGCUAAUACCGCAUACUGAAGGAGGGGAUUGCGGCUGAUUAGCUAGUUGGAGGGGUAACGGCCCAACAAGGCGAUGAUCAGUAGCCGGUCUGGGAGGAUGAACGGCCACAUUGGGACUGGGACACGGCCCAGACGCCUACGGGAGGCAGCAGUGGGGAAUCUUCCGCAAUGGACGAAAGUCUGACGGAGCAACGCCGCGGGAGUGAUGACGGGCUUCGGGUUGUAAAGCUCUGUUAAUCGGGACGCGGUACCGGAAUAGAAAGCCACGGCUAACUACGUGCCAGCAGCCGCGGUAAUUC
rnacentral:rRNA from 1 species